UCAUGUACUUUGUUACAUCAGAGCCAGCACAAAAUGUGCUAGGCGUUGCGAGGCAGUACAUCUUGAUCAGUAAGGUCCCUCAGCAAUUGAUACACUUGGAAAGACUCGUUCAUGUCACUGAUGUGGAUUGCAUAGCUAACUUAAGAAUGGAUCGCAACACGUUUGGGAAGUUGUGUCGCGUCCUCAUUGAGCGGGGAGGUUUGAAAACAGGGAAAUGCUUAGGUAUCAAAGAACAGGUGUUGUUUCGAGUCUCCACAUUGUGUUAUUGUCAAAGCCUACGCCUGUGCCCGAUGAUUGCAUUGACCACAGAGGGAAAUGGUUCAAGUGCACUCGACGGUACACAUAUCAACGUACUGGCCAGCAACAUGGACAAACCAUCAGAUGGUAUUCCUGUCACACGAACUCCAUGACCACGUGUAGGGUCAACCAUAAUACCUACUGCAAAGGCCACAAGUUAAACCAAGACAGAACUAAACAUAGAAAAUUGAAGAAGUCAUCGCUAUAUUCGGAUUAAAAUUGAGCACAACCAAAUGAAGACAACAUCGAUGAAACAUAGUUCAAUCAAGCACUUGUAUCACAUCAAAUCGAGGGAAAUGG